GCUCUGCCAUUUCUAUUUUAACUUGGCUGAAGAGUAGAAGCCAGUUUCAGUGCGAUAGCUAUUUUUUAAAGUUUCUCUAAGUUCGAGUACGUUUAAUUUCGCACGAGGCGAACGCUCUACUCUCGAGCAAUUUAUUCUAGUACUUAAAGCGUCCGAACGACGCUUUUUGUACGCUUUUUCCCGUUCCCGCUGGACACGUCUCGUCCACGCGGUGUGAACCCGGCCGUGCGGGCCCGCCAUUACGGUAGCCAAACGAGAAGUGAGGCCUUCCGACCUACCGAGAAUCUCCGAAGGAAAGUAUCCCCUAGUCCCGGUGGCUGUGUAGUCCCGCAGGCGAAGGCCAGUUGGAGACCCGCUUCCCGAGGAGAGGAGACGGCAGAGUAUCGGACCAUCAGCCACUGCCCCUUCUCGCAACUCUAAAUCGGCCAUCAACGCACGUGUGCCUAUUCCGGCGAUGCAUCUGCCGAAGAGCUCGGGUGUUCUGUCGCACUACUGAUUGGACAUCCCCUGUAGCUGGCGCCGUCCUCAUCAUCUUUCGAUGACGACACAACCCUGCCGGUGUACCCAGCUGCCAGCAUAGAGCAUACACCCUGAUCAGGUAUGCCGUUAAUCAUGGCCAUGUCACACACACACACACACACACACAACAACACUCACACUACACAAAAUGAAU